UUGCAGCCAAUUAAGCCGACUGGGUUCCUUUCCCCAUGGAGCUUUGUCUGUGUGCAGUGGCUGCAGACAGCAGCCUCCUAGGUAGUGUAGUAACCUGUUGAUUGUACAAAUACCUAAGGGACCUUGGGGACAGUU